UGGGGUGUAGCUCAGUGGUACAGCAGUGUUUAGGAGGCACAAGGCCCUGGGUUUGAUCCCCAGAACCACUA
rnacentral:tRNA from 1 species